rnacentral:sRNA from 1 species
CAACCACGAAGAAGAGGAAGAAGAACUCUGAUGAUGACGACUCA